GGACCAUGGACAUGGACACCGAGGCAGAUGCCAGCGACGCUAGCCUAGCUAGUGUUGGCGCGAGCUCGACGUCGAGCGUUCCCGCCCGCAGGAAACGCAGGCCGAAGUCUUCGGCAGACAAAAAGGGAGCCAAAAAUAUCGGCAUUGGAGUCGGGAUGACGGGAGAGCCACCGCUCCCAGCGGUAAGAUCGCCGCCGUCAUCGCCUUUUGAGCCCUAUAGCAACAACGCCAGAACAUCGUAGAAUAGAAGGGCAAUGCGGGCAAUGGGUUAUGAAGGGUAUGAAGAGCCCUGGGUAGGGUGCUGUGUGCAGUGCAAGCAUAUUGUGUGUGUGUGUGUGUGUUUCCUCGUCUGCUUCUCCCACAUGUUGCAUUCGAAGGAGAGCGAUAUGCAAAAUACUAGAUUUGGUAGUAUUUUUUUGGAGGUUGAUAGGUCGAUAGGCGAAGGGGCAAGGCGAUCAACGGUGCCGGUGAGAGAGCGGGAGAAUGUCAGAGAGGGGAAUAUUGCGGGAUCCACGAGCCAGCUCACCCUCAAGAAUGCCAUGUGAUGCCCUUGAAUUUGGUUCAAGGGCAGUAGAAGAGAUGAGAUCAACUGCAGCAAGGGGGACUGCGUAGAGUAGCUACGCUGAACAUGCCGGCAGUGGGAAAAUACACAUCGGCAGUGUUAGGGCGUUUUGUGUGUGUGACCGUUAAGGAAAAAAAAAACAGACCGGCCAACGUAGAGGACCCUUUUACCCGAAUCGAAAUAAAAAGGCGUAAAUUGUAUCGGCUGGCUUCCCGUAGAUGGGCCAAAAUUACCAUUCCCCGGCCCGCGGAAUCCUGGUCACACCCCUGCUCGGGCGCGACCCGCCACAGCGCCACCGACAAUUAAUAUAAUUAAUCUACGCCUACAUAAACGCAUACCUAUUUACAUGCGUAUAUAAAGACACACAAAAAUAAUAUCUGUCUAUAUUAAUUAAUAUUCAAUUAAUUAGCCACCCCACAUAUAUUUACCGACCAUAUUAAUGUAAUAUAAAUGUAGUAUUUGUAUAUAUAUUUAUUUUAUUAUUUAUAUUUAUUAUUUUUUUGUGAUUAUUCCCACCCAUUAAUUUAAGUUGAAGAGUCGGGAAUAGGCGGACGCGCCACGAGACAUUAGUAUAGGGAUUUUUAGUUAAGUAUGUGUUAAGUUUUUGGUUUAAAUAUUAUAACGUUUAAAAUGAA